GGCGAGGUGGUGCACUGGUAGCACACGUGAAGUGUUCCUAGCUGCAAACAGACUUUACAGCGGUCGAAAGCCCGAGUGCAUUGUAUGAUACGUCCAGUACCAUCAGCUCACGAGGCGGAGGUUCGAUUCCUUCUUUUGCCA
rnacentral:tRNA from 1 species